rnacentral:rRNA from 1 species
UACAGAGGUCUCAAGCGUUGUUCGGAUUCAUUGGGCGUAAAGAGCUCGUAGGCGGUUUGUUGCGUCGGCUGUGAAAUCCCGAGGCUCAACCUCGGGUCUGCAGUCGAUACGAGCAAACUAGAGUGUUGCAGGGGGAGACUGGAAUUCCUGGUGUAGCGGUGAAAUGCGCAGAUAUCAGGAGGAACACCAAUUGCGAAGGCAGCUCGCUGGGACGUUACUGACGCUGAGACGCGAAAGCGUGGGGAGCAAACAGG